AGUUUCCUGCCACGUUGACUCUGGAUGGAGUGACCUGCUUGGCCAAGGGGACAUCAAUAAACUUGACACAGCAAUAGGUUGGCCCCUUUUCCCCCAGGGAUAUUUUAGCAAGAAGAAUGUGAUUCGAAGACUUCCAGAUGUUACUUUUCAGAUGCGUCUCAGCAUGCAUCUAUAAACCAUCUGGUGGCAGCAGCAGCUGGACUGGCUCCAACUGUAAAUGUACAUUCAGGUAGAGAGAAGAAACCAGGACUAGGAUGGACCAAACCGCACCAUCAUGCUGAGAGAGAAGUGGUCGCAGGUCUGGGUGCAGAGCUCCUCACUGGAGAAGUUCCUGGUAAGGAACGUGGAACUAAAAAGCUACCACCAACCAGAAGAAUUCAGGAAAGGUCAAAGGAGAGAGGAGACGCCAGUCCAUGUGUCCUACCAACCUCCCAGAAUCCUCCUCGCUGGAAUCCAUCUUGGCUGAGCAAUGCACGCCACCAGGAAGGAGCCUGAGUCAGAAUGAUUGGCCAGAGACAACCCGGAAACUAACCCCAUCACCAUAAAACCCGAGACUGUGAGCCACGUGGCAGAGCAGUCCUCCUGGGUUCCUUUACCCUCCUGCCCUCCCCCCGGGCACCC